AUGGUGGGGAAAGGAGGCGAGGCCGCGGCGUCGGCGCAGCACAAGGAGGAGCAUGAGGAAGAUGGCGACAUGGUUGGCGUGGUGAAGCUGAUCAGCGCCGAGGGUUUCGAGUUCGUCAUCGACAAGAAGGCGGCCAUGGUCUCCAACACCCUCCGGAACAUGCUCACCUCACCUGGUGGUUUCGCGGAGACGCGCGAGGGCGAGGUGAGGUUCCCGGAGAUCAGCACCGCGAUCCUAGAGAAGAUCUGCCAGUACUUCUACUGGUCUCUCCACUACGCCAGUGGGAAGGAGACGGCGGAGUUCCCGAUCGAGCCAGAAAUAACGCUGGAGCUGAUGAUGGCUGCAAACUACCUCGACACUUAG
rnacentral:rRNA from 1 species